rnacentral:rRNA from 9 species
AGGAAUGCUACCUGGUUGAUCCUGCCAGUAG